rnacentral:rRNA from 2 species
ACUCAGGAUGAACGCGGGCGGCGUGUCUAAUACAUGCAAGUCGAGCGAACAGACGAGGAGCUUGCUCCUCUGACGUAGCGGCGGACGGGUGAGUAACACGUGGAUAACCUACCUAUAAGACUGGGAUAACUUCGGGAAACCGGAGCUAAUACCGGAUAAUAUAUUGAACCGCAUGGUUCAAUAGUGAAAGACGGUUUUGCUGUCACUUAUAGAUGGAUCCGCGCCGCAUUAGCUAGUUGGUAAGGUAACGGCUUACCAAGGCAACGAUGCGUAGCCGACCUGAGAGGGUGAUCGGCCACACUGGAACUGAGACACGGUCCAGACUCCUACGGGAGGCAGCAGUAGGGAAUCUUCCGCAAUGGGCGAAAGCCUGACGGAGCAACGCCGCGUGAGUGAUGAAGGUCUUCGGAUCGUAAAACUCUGUUAUUAGGGAAGAACAAAUGUGUAAGUAACUAUGCACGUCUUGACGGUACCUAAUCAGAAAGCCACGGCUAACUACGUGCCAGCAGCCGCGGUAAUACGUAGGUGGCAAGCGUUAUCCGGAAUUAUUGGGCGUAAAGCGCGCGUAGGCGGUUUUUUAAGUCUGAUGUGAAAGCCCACGGCUCAACCGUGGAGGGUCAUUGGAAACUGGAAAACUUGAGUGCAGAAGAGGAAAGUGGAAUUCCAUGUGUAGCGGUGAAAUGCGCAGAGAUAUGGAGGAACACCAGUGGCGAAGGCGACUUUCUGGUCUGUAACUGACGCUGAUGUGCGAAAGCGUGGGGA